CCCCAACCCCAGGAGGCCCCGCUCCCCAGGCCUCGGCCGGCGCGGACCCCUGGUUGCCCCGGGGUCGGGAGCAGCCGGGGAGAGCUGAGUUCAGAGCCCAGAGUCGGACAUCAGGCCACACGCUGAGAGGGUAGUAAAUGAAAGGGAGUCCGGUUUAGUCGCGGGCAGGGCAUCUCCUCUUCUGCUUGUCUAAAAGUCGCUGGGUGCAGGGGAAGCAAUACUAAGCGGGAAUUUCUUUUUAGUGGCAUCUACACAAUUUGCCUUUCCUGGUUUUUGUUUUGUUUUGUUUUGUUUCCUAAGGAGGGGGAGGCUCUGUAGAGGAAGCUUCGGCCCUGGGUGCCCCUGGGUUGGGAGCAGCCGGGGAGAGCUGAGCCAGGGCGCACGCCCUGUCGGCGCUGCAGGUGUGGGGCGCAGGAGUCCUUCUGGCCGGCGCCUCCGCCCCCCGGGGAGGCUGGAGCUCUCCAAGGCCGGGGAGCCUCCCGAAGCGCGCUGCCCCCUCUGUUCUCCGCGUGCUUUCACUAGGGCCCCAUGCUGCUUAGUGGCCGAUUUGCAGGGAAUCUGGGCACAAUCUUAAUAACACCAGGGCCAAAAAUAACAACGUUCCUGGGAACCAGAGCAGCUGGAGCGCACCCCAUGGAUGCUGGGCCAUCUCCCCGGGGACUAGUGCCUGACAGAGCUGACAGAGUUCUAGGCCACAUGUGGGCUAGAAGGAACCGCCAUGUCUACCACAGCACAGUCCUUAAGCAGGAGCCUUUUGAAGCACUUGGACUCAAAACAAUGGCUGUUUGUUGUUGUUGUUGUUGUUGUUGUUUGUUUGUUUUGAGGGAGCCAGAAAGCUAAAAAAUGUAAAAGAAGCAGGUCACAUUAGACAUGAUUUCAGACAGCCUCCCCGAAGGACAGAUGAUCUCACUUGGCAACACAUACUGGGCCAGGCUCACUCAUGAGGGGGCAGCGUGGCAUGCACCCCACUCGGGGCAAGAAUGAGGCUUAAAUAUUAGCUGACUCAGAACAUAGCAAGUGCUCAGUAAUGGCUUCUGGAACGAACCCGUGGUUGUCACCAGCAGGAGUGACGAAAGCUAGAAGCCGUUUCACCAUCCAGGGAAGAGGAGGAACAAUAUUUUUCUCUUUGGAGUUCCCACACUCAGAAGAGAGAACACCAGCAUAUGAACACAGAGUGUCACAUGAUGUAGGAAACGUCCUGUAGGUAGAGAGUAUAAUUCCAAAGCUUAGGAUCCUGCUAGUUCCUUGUGCAGUGCUUCCGGUGGGCAACAUGGUGACCCCCCAGUCCCUCAGGCUUGAGGCAGGCCAGCACAGCUUCUCUGGGAGCCAGGUCAUUUCAGAAUUUAACCCCAGAACUAGGUCACCCCAGAACUAGGUCACCCCAGGCAACACAAGUCUCCUCUCCCUUGGAUACAGGAAGCGGAGGAAAAGGCCAGGCAUGCUCAGGGGCAAACCAACACCCAGGUGAAAGGGAGCUGGGCUGGUUUCAGGGAGCAGCCUGGUUUCAGGGAGCCGGACUCAUGAUGUGCUUGAGACCCUCAAAUUCACCCCUGGAAGCAGCUGCCCCCGUGACAAGGAACUAAGGACAGGCAUGUCAUGAACUGUGAAUUAGAGUGACAUUUGUCCCUCCCUUCAUCAACAGACUGCCCCAAGAGCUUCCCAAAUUAUCUGCCAUAGAAUACCUUGUUUCCCUCGAGUCUCUGAAAGGGGGCCGCAAAAGCUGUCCCCACGCUGGAAAUGCAGGGCCAGGCUUUUAAAGUUUUGCUCCCGGAUUAUGAGAACACCUAGAAAAUUCAGUGCUCCUCUCCACUCCCCCAAACCCCUUCACAAGCCCCCACCCUUCGUUUAACAAACAUAUAUAUAGUGCUUUCCUGGUACCAGAUACUACUUUAAGCACUUGACAAAAUAUUUAGUCAUACAUAAAACCCUUAUAAUUACACUGUAAUUCACUCUCGUCAGAUCCAGUCAUUGUGAAGAAACGGAGGCACGGGGAGAUUAAGAGAGCUACUUAAGAAGACACGGUGCCAGGUUUCUACCCAAGCCAUUUGGAUCUAGGGUCUGGAGGCCAUGUGAGCCAUUUUGCAUUAGAUUAAUGCUUUAAUUCAGUUCACAGUUAGACAACAUACGUUCCCCAUCUAUAUCUAUACCCAUCUGGAAGGCAACAAAAAGAUGAUAAACUGAUAGUGUCAUGUGCCCAUGACCCAGCUAACAAAGAGGCUCUGGGUUCCAAUGCCCCAGUCUUUCAUGGGAUUCCAUCGACCUCAUGCCCUGCUCCCCUCCCCAACAGAGAUGGAAACAUUAUCCUGAAUUUUGUGUUUAUCAUCCCUUGUUUCUCUCUAUAGUUUUGCCACUUAUGGUUGUAUGAUUUUUGUUUGUUUGUUUUUUGAGACGGCAUCUCGCUCUGUCACCAGGCUGGAGUGCAGUGGCAUGAUCUCGGCUCUACCUCCCAGGUUCAAGCCAUCCUCCUGCCUCAUCCUCCCGAGUAGCUGGGACUACAGGCACACGCCACCAUGCCCAGCUAAUUUUUGUAUUUUUAGUAGAGACGGGGUUUCACCUUAUGGUUGUAUCUUUAAACAAUGUCUUGUUUAGUUUUGCCAUGUUUUCGGACUGUGAAUAAAUAGAAUUAUUAUGCUGUGUGAA